GACGAAGGGGGCUAGCGUUGUUCGGAAUUACUGGGCGUAAAGCGCGUGUAGGCGGUUGCCAAAGUCGGGUGUGAAAGCCUUGAGCUUAACUCAAGAAAUGCACUCGAUACUUGGUGACUAGAGGACCGGAGAGGAUAGUGGAAUUCCCAGUGUAGUGGUGAAAUACGUAGAGAUUGGGAAGAACACCAGUGGCGAAGGCGGCUAUCUGGACGGUUUCUGACGCUGAGACGCGAAAGCGUGGGUAGCAAACAGG
rnacentral:rRNA from 1 species